GACGAACGCUGGCGGCGUGCUUAACACAUGCAAGUCGAACGGAAAGGCCCCUUUGGGGGUCCUCGAGUGGCGAACGGGUGAGUAACACGUGAGUAACCUGCCCUUGACUUCGGGAUAACUUCAGGAAACUGGGGCUAAUACCGGAUAGGAAUCCUUGCUGCAUGGUGGGGGUUGGAAAGCUUCGGCGGUUUUGGAUGGACUCGCGGCUUAUCAGCUUGUUGGUGGGGUAGUGGCUUACCAAGGCUUUGACGGGUAGCCGGCCUGCGAGGGCGACCGGCCACAGUGGGACUGAGAGACGGCCCAGACUCCUACGGGAGGCAGCAGUGGGGAAUAUUGCACAAGGGGCGGAAGCCUGAUGCAGCAACGCCGCGUGCGGGAUGACGGCCUUCGGGUUGUAAACCGCUUUCAGCAGGGGCGAAGCUUGUGGUGACGGUACCUGCAGAAGAAGCACCGGCUAACUACGUG
rnacentral:rRNA from 1 species